rnacentral:SRP_RNA from 1 species
GCUGGGCAUGGUGGCUCACGCCUGUAAUCCCAGCACCUUGGGAGGCUGAGGCAGGCGGAUCACCUGAGGUCAGGAGUUCAAGACCAGCCUGGCCAACAUGGUGAAACUCUGUCUCUA